rnacentral:rRNA from 1 species
AUCUAGGCUCUUGCAUCGAUGAAGAACGUAGCGAAAUGCGAUACUUGGUGUGAAUUGCAGAAUCCCGUGAACCAUCGAGUCUUUGAACGCAAGUUGCGCCCGAUGCCAUUAGGUUGAGGGCACGUCUGCCUGGGUGUCACAUAUCGGAGCCUCCUGCCAAUUUC